UACAGAGGGUGCAAGCGUUGUUCGGAAUUAUUGGGCGUAAAGGGCGCGUAGGCGGCCAUGCGUGUCUUCCGUGAAAUCCCUCGGCUUAACUGAGGACGUGCGGAAGAAACUGCAAGGCUCGAGUCCGGGAGAGGGGGGUGGAAUUCCCAGUGUAGCAGUGAAAUGCGCAGAUAUCAGGAGGAACACCGGUGGCGAAGGCGGGUCUCUGGGCCGAUAUUGACGCUGAGGAGCGAAAGCGUGGGGAGCGAACAGG
rnacentral:rRNA from 1 species